UACGUAGGGUGCAAGCGUUAAUCGGAAUUACUGGGCGUAAAGCGUGCGCAGGCGGCUUUGCAAGACAGAUGUGAAAUCCCCGGGCUUAACCUGGGAACUGCAUUUGUGACUGCAUGGCUGGAGUGCGGCAGAGGGGGAUGGAAUUCCGCGUGUAGCAGUGAAAUGCGUAGAUAUGCGGAGGAACCCCGAUGGCGAAGGGAAUCCCCUGGGCCUGCCCUGGCGCUCAUGCCCGAAAGCGUGGGGAGCAAACAGG
rnacentral:rRNA from 1 species